GAGAGAAAAAUGCAAGAAAGAGAACAUCAGAGACCGGAUAAAGGAAGAGACAAUAAGUUCAUCACUAAUAGCCGAGAGAGGGAAUAGACUAGAGGAAGUUAUCAGGCUGUUGACACCACGUCUGUCCACCCUGGAUAACAUGGAGCUGCUUUAUGUAUUUGUGGCAUUGCUCUUCAGUACCAAGUCCUCCGAUGGAGUCACCGUACUGCAGAAACGGGCAGACAUGUUCACGGGGACGGGGAAUGAGUCUGAGACCCUGCACUGUGAACACGAUGAUGCUAACCACUACAGAAUGUACUGGUACAGGCAGGACAGCGGCAGAGGAAUGCGUUUGGUCGCGUAUUCUUUCAGCCAAGGCGAUGUGAACAUAGAGCCGCCCUUCAACGGAUCCAAAUAUGCGAUGGAGCGUCCUGAAGUGAAGAAGUCGUCUCUGCAGAUAAAGGAUUUGGCGGUGGGGGACUCGGCUGUGUAUUUCUGCGCCUCUAGUAUUGCACGCUAACCCAGAACAGCGACGCUACACGACAAUAACCCCUAUUAACCACAUACUGUACACCCU